ACGGCAGGCUUUCAGCCUCCUGAAACAGAUGCUUCCAGCGAAGAUGACUCGGAAGAGAUUUGCAAAUCUUUAUCCAGUAAAACAUCUAUGACUGAUAAAAAAAGUCCUCUAAGUUCUCCAGUAGAAAGUGAUUUAUUCAAUUGUUUCUUGCGUUCUUCGAAAUUAGAAGUGGCCAAAAAAGUUUUGGCUGAGGAAAUUAAUUUAGGGAAAACUUUGUUAGUUAAGCACAACCAAAAAG